rnacentral:rRNA from 1 species
AGGACGAACGCUGGCGGCGUGCUUAACACAUGCAAGUCGAGCGGAAAGGCCCUUCGGGGUACUCGAGCGGCGAACGGGUGAGUAACACGUGAGUAAUCUGCUCCUAGCUCUGGGAUAGCUCCGGGAAACCGGGAUUAAUACCAGAUAUUACCACUUUAGACAUCUCUUGUGGUGGAAAGAAUUUCGGCUAGGGAUGAACUCGCGGCCUAUCAGCUUGUUGGUGAGGUAACGGCUCACCAAGGCGACGACGGGUA